GUUUUGUUUUUGAACCAUGGCAGAACUCAACAUGUGGACUCUAACUUGUGUUUUUCUUUCCUUCCUGUCUGCAGGGUUAAAGGCUUACAGAAAAGGAAAAGGUCUCAGCUGGUAUGAAGUACCUACAUCUCGACAGCUGACAGGAAGAGACUCAACAGACUGACAAAGAAGGCCAGCUGUGUCCUGGGGCGCUCUCUUGACCCGCUGGACGUGGUGGGAGAAAGGAGAAUGCUAGCCAAGCUAUCAUCCCUUAUGGUCAACAUGUCCCACCCCAUGCAGGACACUUUGUCAGCACUGGGCAGCUCGUUCAGUGACUGGCUACUUCACCCGCUGUGCUGUCAGACUAUACAUCCAACACUGCUCCCAGUGGACCACACAUACGAAAACUAUGGACAAUCAAACAUCAUUCAUGUGAGGUAUCUGUGUCUGUAUAUACCAACUGUGAAAUAUCUACACUUGAUGUGUACAAUAAUGACCAGACUCCGGCUCCUAUAAGAAACUUAGGACUGAAUCAUCCUCAAUUUAAUGAUGAAUGUUUCCCACAAAACUGUGUUAUUGAACUUUUUACUCAGUGUUCAUGUCUAAUUAUAACAAAAGCCCAAAUGCUAAAAAUAUUGUAGGCCUACAAGUUCCUUCUCAUAUGGUGUUUCUUUGGUGUUGGCCUAACUGUAGGUAGGGGAAGCACAAUAUAAGGUGUCUGGUAGUGAUGAACCUACAAUUAUGACCUGAAUCUGCAGCUAUCUUUAUCUUCACAGAGCUUUACAGUGAGCUUCAGCUCAUUGUUUAACUGUCCAGCCCACAAUUUUACUGUUUUGCUUUACUGUCUUUGCUCUAAUGAUGUGUUUUGCUCUAAAAACCUACUAUUCACUACCUGCUCAGCAGCAAACAGCAGAACAACACAGUUAGGGACUAGCUGUUGCACAUAGUGGAGCAUUAAGGAGCUAAAGGGACAGAUAUUAAUUUAAUAUAUGACAAAUAUUUAUCAGGUGGACAAGAGACCAAACAUAAGAAUUAAGUCAUAUCAAGACAAUUUAUUUAUUGAAAAGCAAACAGCUAGACAAACAGAGAUUAGACAAUAUGUAAACAUGUUUUUAGAGAGUGCACAGCCAUGAUAGUGUCUUUGCAUAUGAUGUAUUACACUGGUGCUCUGUCCAGAUUGAAGGCAGCUGGAGGCAAAGUCUACCAACACUGCACCAAUGCCUUUGAUUUGCGCUGCUUACAGCCGUUCCAAUCAAUAAAACUUGGGGAAAAACAAGAGCCAAUUUAUGUCCCGUAUACAGUAGGACGUAAAGGGGAGAAGUAUUUUUAAAAAGUAACUGAGAAACAGCAGCAGAUGUGGAUCCAAAACCUCAGACCUCUGGGAUCGAUUAACCUCGUAACAUUAGGUAGAAAACAGUAGCCAAAGUUAGCUAAUGUUAGCUGGUAACAUCAGCCUGACAACGGUGUCUCCCAUGAACACCUGGCCAAGAACAAGAUGGUAGUCGUUUCAGUCGUGGACCCAGAUAACACAAAAUAGUUAUAGUCAGUACUCAAGUUGUAAAAAAAAA